CCUACGGGUGGCAGCAGUGGGGAAUAUUGGACAAUGGGGGAAACCCUGAUCCAGCGACGCCGCGUGAGUGAAGAAGUAUUUCGGGAUGGAAAGCUCUAUCAGCAGGGGAGAAAGAAAUGACGGUACCUGAGUAAGAAGCACAGGCUAACUACGUGCCAGCAGCCGCGGUAAUACGGAGGGGGCAAGAGUUAUCCGGAAUUACUGGGUGUAAAGGGAGCGUAGGCGGUAAUGCAAGUCUGGAGGGAAAGGCGGGGGCCCAACCCCCGGACUGCUCUGGAAACUGUGGAACUGGAGUGCAGGAGAGGCAGGCGGAAUGCGUGGUGUAGCGGUGAAAUGCGUAGAUAUCAGGAGGAACACCAGUGGCGAAGGCGGCAUGCUGGACUGUAACUGACGCUGAGGCUCGAAAGCGUGGGGAGCAAACAGGAUUAGAUACCCUAGUAGUC
rnacentral:rRNA from 1 species